rnacentral:lncRNA from 1 species
UAGGGUCCAAAAUUUGGGUUUCACGGGGAAAAUUUUCAAUCCUAAUAAUCCAUUCUAUAUGAAAAAACCUUAUUAUCAAUGAUGAUAUGAGAGUACACAAUUCAUGAAUUUAAAAGCAAGAACAUCUGUCAUUGCCUAGUGAUACAAUUACACAUUUCAACCCAAAAUGUAUUUCAAGCCAAUGUGGCUCAUCUUUCUUGAAUUCUAUGAAGAGCAUCUAUAUUGCAUGGAGUCUAGUAAGUUUACAUGGCAUAGAACAAUAUUAUGCAAACUGCCAAUACCAAGAAAUGCAACAUUUUGUGCAAUGUUUGUCUUCUUCUUCUAUACCAUGAAAGUGUUGUUGCUCCAUGAAGCGAUCCUCUGCAUUAUUUGUAGUAUGGAAAAAUCAUAAACAUGCAUCAUUGUACCUGUCGACUUGUUGCUGACAUUCUUCCCAUGCUGUUUAAAUCCUAGGAACGUGGCCGACGA